CCCCUAGAUGUUCUGGGCCGCACGCGCGCUGCACUGAACAGUUCAACAAGUCUUAACCUUGGCCGAUAGGUCUGGGUAAUCUUUGAACGCUGUUCGUGAUUGGGAUAGACCUUUGCAAUUAUGGGUCUUCAACGAGGAAUUCCUAGUAAACGCAAGUCAUCAGCUUGCAUUGAUUACGUCCCUGCCCUUUGUACACACCGCCCGUCGCACCUACCGAUUGAAUGGUCCGGUGAAAUCUCGGGACGGCGGCUUGGUCGCUUGCGUCCGACUGCUGAAACUUGAUUAAACCAUNUNAUUUAGNGGAAGGUGAANUCGUANCA
rnacentral:rRNA from 1 species